CCACCACGUGCCACAGCCGCAUGUCCCAGAACACCACGGUCUCCUUGGACAGUUGGCAAGAGACGACCUCCACAUCGUCCUCUGGCUGUAAGCGUGGGGUCAGACACCUUGUGGGGCCCAGGCUGUGGGCCGGCUGGCUGUGUGGACCCGAGUGAAGCCCCCAGGGUCAGAGCUGUUGCGAAGAGCUCACCCUGCACCCUUCCCGCUCCAGUCUGUAGUGGGUGGAGCUGGGCCUGGGCACGGGCCAGGCAGUGGGUGGCGGGCCCUGAGGGGUUAAGUGAUGUGGACCCAGCCCUGACCGUACUUCUGGUGCUUCUAGGGUGGCAGGAGGCGGGUUCCCAACACCAGUGCCUUGGGUGAGCAGGGGGCGAUGCUUUCCUGGGCCCGGAACGGACUCGACCCUGCCCCAGGCUUCUGCUCGCCCAGGCCGGCUGGGUUUCUGCACCGGGGCCCCAAGGCUGCUCCAGAGGCUCAAGCCAGUCUGGGUCCCCUUACAAGGACACUGGAGCUGACACUGGACCCACUUCAGCCUCUGUCACACCCCCUGGUCAGCAGCAGCGGGGACAGGCUGAGCGGGAGCGCGGGGCUCUGUCCUUGUCCCCCAGCCCCUCCAGGUCAGGGCUGUAUCCCUCGGCCACCUGGGUGUGGCUCUGGCCUGCCCCUCCCCUCCUGUCCCACAGCACGGCACCUCAGGGUCCCCUGUGUGCCUCUCACUGUCCCCUGCACUUCUGUCUCCUUGUGGUCAGUGCCAGGACCCAACCAGGUCCCAAGAGCAGAGCCUGUGUUCCCCAGAGGACCCCGCGUGCGGGGCCUGCCUCCCCCAUCAGAUUCUAGGUCAAGGAGACCAGGGUCUGUGCUCCCCACCAGGAGACCAUGGGGUGAACUGCAGAGCCCCCUCCCACAGGGCAGGGCUGUGCCCCCCCAGGUGGACAGGGAGUCAGACAGGAAGCGUCUCCCGCUCCACUGGUGUUCCUGAAAUCAUCAGAUCAUCAGACCAGGGAGCCCAGGGCUGGGUCUCCCCUCAGCUCGACAGUCGCCUCGCUAGCCAGGUCUCCCAGUGUCAGAGCAACAGAUCAAGCCGGUGCCCCACAGCCCCCUGCCCGGACCCGGAAACUCCAUGCCCUCCGCAUGC